AGGUAUUUGUGAUGUUAAGAGGCGAUGACGUGGCAUGUUUUGAGGCUAAAGAGAAAACUUUUGUCCCGUGUUCUCUCUUUCUCGACUCUCUCUCUCUCUUUUUCUCGUCUCUCCAUCGACAAAAAUCAACAAAUCAACAUAAUUUAGCUGAUUCAAGUCUCAGAAAGUAUCUCAAAUCGUGUUCUGCUUUCGUCGAAUCGAACAGAGAGAAGAAGAUCUCAGAGGAAGCAGAUACUAUUAGGAAUUAGAGUAUGGAGAAAUGAAGAAAUGAUGUAAGAAGACUGGCACGUGUGGCACGUGAGGAGUAGUGAGCUGCAGUACACGUGGAAAGAAAAGAUUGGAGCAAGUUGGCUAAAGGCCUUUAAAACAGUCAUCGUCUCUCUUCUUCUUCAUUAUGCAAAAUCUGAGAAUUGUUUGUUUGUUACCUUUUUCUUCUUGUGUUGUUACAAUGGUGGACUCAUUGUUGGCUAGAGUUUCUUGUGAACUCAGCAGAUGAGAUUUGGAUCCGCGUUUCAUGAACGUUGAUUCAAUUUGUGUUACUUGUUCGAUUGAAUUUGAGUGAGAUACAGUUUUUCUGCAUCAGAAACUAAGCUCUAUCUUUGUCCGGAAGAAAAUUAUAUGUGGGGUGAAGAAGAUGAAAAACGUUUCAAUCCAAUGAAUCUGCUUCAUGGGCUAAAAAAAUUCGUUUGCAUUUGGUUCGAAUUUGAUUCAAUUUCGUUGUGGGCGUUAUCUUGUUGUGAUCAUUUGACUUUUAUGUUCUUAGAUCCAUAGAGUAAGAGAUCUUUGUAAUGUUCUCUUUGAUCUUCUCAUUGUUUUGAUGAAACUUUCUUGUCUGAUCCAUUACACUUUAGGAGGUGAAACAUUGACAUUGAACCAUAUAUGUGAUAAUGCAUAACUCAGCUUUUUUGGAUUUUGUUUCUCAGUGCUUAGUUUUUGGGUAAUUGAUCACAAUACUAAUCUUAAGAAUGACGUUGAACUGCAUUGUAAUUUGUGAAUGUCUAUCAACGUUCAUGGCUUUGUUGAUGAAUGAGGUUUAUGUUUUAUUUAUAGAGUCUAUUUAGAUGGGAUCAUAUGCGGUUUUGGUUCAUGAGUUUGUUUGUGGUUGUGUACGGAUUUGUGAUUUGAUGCAUUAAACCCGUGUUGCUUUGGAGUUAGGAUCUCAUAGAUUCAAGGUUUGACUGUAACAGAUUCUUUCUUUAACUACAUUUUCCGAGGAUGCAACAAAUAUCUUUAUCGGUUACUCAUUGUAACAGUAGUCAUACGUUUUAUAAAGGGAGGAAGAGACAACUUUGGUCAUAAUAUUCUGCUGCUGAGAUAUUGUUUUGAUCUAAUAGGUACUUGCUGUGAAGAAAAUAGACUCAUCUGCGCUUUGAGAUUAGAAUCGCUUGUGUGGCCUGACGACAAAAAACCUCAGCCAGGUUGGUUCUUGCCCUCGGCGCUGAAUCUAAACUUGAUGUUGUUCCCGGCGCAAUGGAGUUGGCUUUCCCAUUCUACACUCUUGAAGAUGCUAUUGUAAGAGUUAGAAGUGCCCAAUCCGGUGUUCAGUUUGGAUUUUUUGGUUUAUGAAAUGUAGAAACUGCUUUAUUCGGGUUGAUAUGGUUUUUGCUUUGGUUCAGAUUGGUUUACUGUUUAAGUCAAGUAUAUUACUUAGCUU